rnacentral:rRNA from 1 species
GACGAGCUCUCCAAACGUUAUUCGGUAUCACUGGGCUUAAAGAGUUCGUAGGCGGCUUUGUAGGUGGGGUGUGAAAGCCCUCGGCUCAACCGAGGAAUUGCGCCCCAAACCGCAGGGCUUGAGGGAUAUAGGGGUAAGCGGAACAGAUGGUGGAGCGGUGAAAUGCAUUGAUAUCAUCUGGAACACCGGUGGCGAAAGCGGCUUACUGGAUAUUUUCUGACGCUGAGGAACGAAAGCUAGGGUAGCGAACGGGAUUAGAUACCCCGGUAGUCCUAGCCGUAAACGAUGAGCACUAGUCUGAAGGACUCUCACAGUCUUUCGGACGUAGCGAAAGUGUUAAGUGCUCCGCCUGGGGAGUAUGGUCGCAAGGCUGAA